AGGACGAACGCUGGCGGCGCGCUUAACACAUGCAAGUCGAACGGGGUCCUUCGGGGCCCAGUGGCGAACGGGUGCGUAACACGUGAGCAACCUGCCUGGAGUUGGGGGAUAACCUCGGGAAACCGGGGCUAAUACCGCAUACGCUCUUUUGCCUGUAUGGGUGGGAGAGGAAAGGAGCUUUAGGCUUCGACUCCAGAGGGGCUCGCGGCGUAUCAGCUAGUUGGUGAGGUAACGGCUCACCAAGGCGAUGACGC
rnacentral:rRNA from 1 species